rnacentral:lncRNA from 1 species
GCUGCGGCUCCAAAAUCGACCCUUUUACCGAAAUACCCUCCCACCAAGUCACAUAUUACGUACCAAAUGCCACAAAACGUUUCACCAUCUAUUUUCUCCCCAGGCCGCAGCCACAUCCCGAGCAGGCGAGCACCAGUCGAAAAAAAGAAAAAUCUACCUCUCGAGCGUGAUGGGGAACUAGGGUUCAGAACUCCUUCACCGGCGCCACCUCUCACCGCCGCCGCCGGCCGGCCUCCUGCUACCGCCGGCCCUUUCUCCCCGCAAGCCUUUGCUCCUACGGCCCCGACGCCUGCGGCCCC